GGGGUUCCCCUGCCUGUUCUGAGGGGAUCCGUUCCCUAACCAGGAAAAACCCCAAGCAGCAUGGGGUCACAGGCGGUCACGAGGAGGUUGUUCCUCUGGAAGGUGGAAAUGUUCCUUUCGAGUGUGUGCGGCGUCUGCGGCGUCUGAGGUUUGGGGAGACGCCGGCAGAGGUCUGGGUUCCGAACCCGGCAGGGCAGGACAGGACGAUGGUGGGACGUAGCCUUGAAGAGCUGUGGGUGGCGCGCGUGGGGGUGCAUGGGGGUGCGUGCGGGGGU